GUGGGNGACCUGCCCANUAGUUGGGAUAACUCCGGGAAACCGGGGCUAAUACCGGAUAACAUUUUGAACCGCAUGGUUCGAAAUUGAAAGGCGGCUUCGGCUGUCACUUAUGGAUGGACCCGCGUCGCAUUAGCUAGUUGGUGAGGUAACGGCUCACCAAGGCAACGAUGCGUAGCCGACCUGAGAGGGUGAUCGGCCACACUGGGACUGAGACACGGCCCAGACUCCUACGGGAGGCAGCAGUAGGGAAUCUUCCGCAAUGGACGAAAGUCUGACGGAGCAACGCCGCGUGAGUGAUGAAGGCUUUCGGGUCGUAAAACUCUGUUGUUAGGGAAGAACAAGUGCUAGUUGAAUAAGCUGGCACCUUGACGGUACCUAACCAGAAAGCCACGGCUAACUACGUGCCAGCAGCCGCGGUAUACGUAGGUGGCAAGCGUUAUCCGGAAUUAUUGGGCGUAAAGCGCGCGCAGGUGGUUUCUUAAGUCUGAUGUGAAAGCCCACGGCUCAACCGUGGAGGGUCAUUGGAAACUGGGANACUUGAGUGCAAAANAGGAAAGUGGAAUUCCAUGUGUANCGGUGAAAUGCGUANAGAUAUGGAGGAACACCAGUGGCGAAGGCGACUUUCUGGUCUGUAACUGACACUGANGCGCGAAANCGUGGGGGAGCAAACANGAUUANNACCCUGGNNAGUCCNCGCCGUAAACGAUGAGUGCUAAGUGUUANAGGGUUUCCNCCCCUUUAGUGCUGAA
rnacentral:rRNA from 1 species